UACGAAGGGGGCUAGCGUUGUUCGGAAUUACUGGGCGUAAAGCGCACGUAGGCGGAUACUUAAGUCAGGGGUGAAAUCCCGGGGCUCAACCCCCGGAACUGCCUUUGAUACUGGGUAUCUCGAGUCCGGAAGAGGUGAGUGGAAUUCCGAGUGUAGAGGUGAAAAUUCGUAGAUAUUCGGAGGAACACCAGUGGCGAAGGCGGCUCACUGGUCCGGUACUGACGCUGAGGUGCGAAAGCGUGGGGAGCAAACAGGG
rnacentral:rRNA from 1 species